AUGUUGAAGAGAUUUUUGAGGGGCUCUUCUAGCCAAGGCUCCCAGGAAAAACAAGCUAAAGAGAAGGAAAAGGCCAAAUAUAAUCUUCCUCGCAUAGCGGAAAUACGGCCGUGUGAAUGGCCAUGCGAUGAUUUCUUGAGAGAAGCUGGAAUUUAUGAAGAUUUUUAUUCUUUGAUAGAGAAUGCAGGCCUCACCGAUUUCCUCCACGACCGGAUCGAUCAGUAUCUCUUACUCACCAAUACCUUCAUGCAAAACUUUUAUUAUUAUCCUAAGAAGUCACUGCCUUCAGUAUCAUUUCAUUUAUAUGAUGAAUUCAGAGAAAUGUCUUUACCUGAUUUCUGCGUGGUAUGUAGGAUACCCUUUGAGGGAGAAUUAGAGGAACCACAUCCUAGGGAUGUGGAUGGCUUUGUUAACACUAUCACUAUAGGGGAUCCAAAGAAGGGUUCUGAUGCGAGAAUCUCUAGCAUACACUUUCCUGUUCUACGCUACUUUUCCACAUUUGCUAGUAGAUGCUUGAUUGGUCAUGGAAAUAGUGGAAACUUCAGUGUCCCAGAUAUUAUUAUUCUAUUCCAUGCCUUGUUUUGUGAUAAUAGUUUUAGUAUGGGUGCCGUUAUUGCUAAACGUCUAAACCUGAAUCGUACAAAAGGCCCCAUCCUUGGAGGUAUCUAUGUUGCACGUCUUGCUAGACAUUCUGAGAUACCUAUUAGGCACUAUGAGAAAGAGGAGACAAUAUUGCCUCCUUAUAUUUUAGAUUACAGGAGCAUGGUAGCACAUGGGUUUAUUGUUCAUAAUGAUGAUAAGAUGCUCCUGUAUAACUUGAGAUUUAACAAGAAACACAAUGAGACUAUUAUUCUGCCUGCACCUCUGUUGUUUGAUUUGACUGUAGAUAAUUACCUUGUCACGUCGGAAGCUGUGUACGCUCAUCGAGGCCAAGCAUCCACUCCAGAACCUGAGCCCGAGCCGGAACCACCACUGGACCCAUAUCGUCCAUCAUCUUAUCAGUGGGAUCCGGAGGAGAUCUCCAACCAAUGGUAUCCUGAUUACACCUCUUAG
rnacentral:rRNA from 1 species